rnacentral:misc_RNA from 1 species
AAAAAGUUUGCUACUGGAGCUUCCUUGGUGAAGGGCCCAACUGAGAAGGAGCAGAUUGACGUUCAAGGAGACAUAGCUUACGACAUUGUGGAAUUUAUUACAAAAACCUGGCCCGAUGUUCCAGAAUCUGCAAUAUUCUUUAUAGAAGAUGGGAAAAAGGUUCCUGCUGCAUAAACUCAGUACUCUUUAUUCCUGCUUGCAGCAAGGUGUUUUAUUAGGUGCGAUGCUCAUAUCAAUAUGAUAAAAUUUUGGAGUGAGAAUAUGUAUUGGAGCUAUUGAUGCUCUUAUCCCGUCCAGUCCUUUUCCCUGCAGUAACUGAGAGAAUCCAAGAAACACAAUGGGAUUUUGCAGUUUAGAUAUGGUUUGGUUUGAUUUGGUUUGGUGGCAGCAUAUGUGCUUGUACAGUUGCUGCAAUACUAUUUUGUUUCUGAAAUUUGGUAUUAUACUGUAUGUUGUGAUAGUAUCUGUUUUUUAUUGAAUGGUAAUCAUAUU